GAUAAACGCUGGCGGCGUGCCUAAUACAUGCAAGUCGAGCGAACGGACGAGAAGCUUGCUUCUCUGAUGUUAGCGGCGGACGGGUGAGUAACACGUGGAUAACCUACCUAUAAGACUGGGAUAACUUCGGGAAACCGGAGCUAAUACCGGAUAAUAUUUUGAACCGCAUGGUUCAAAAGUGAAAGACGGUCUUGCUGUCACUUAUAGAUGGAUCCGCGCUGCAUUAGCUAGUUGGUAAGGUAACGGCUUACCAAGGCAACGAUGCAUAGCCGACCUGAGAGGGUGAUCGGCCACACUGGAACUGAGACACGGUCCAGACUCCUACGGGAGGCAGCAGUAGGGAAUCUUCCGCAAUGGGCGAAAGCCUGACGGAGCAACGCCGCGUGAGUGAUGAAGGUCUUCGGAUCGUAAAACUCUGUUAUUAGGGAAGAACAUAUGUGUAAGUAACUGUGCACAUCUUGACGGUACCUAAUCAGAAAGCCACGGCUAACUACGUGCCAGCAGCCGCGGUAAUACGUAGGUGGCAAGCGUUAUCCGGAAUUAUUGGGCGUAAAGCGCGCGUAGGCGGUUUUUUAAGUCUGAUGUGAAAGCCCACGGCUCAACCGUGGAGGGUCAUUGGAAACUGGAAAACUUGAGUGCAGAAGAGGAAAGUGGAAUUCCAUGUGUAGCGGUGAAAUGCGCAGAGAUAUGGAGGAACACCAGUGGCGAAGGCGACUUUCUGGUCUGUAACUGACGCUGAUGUGCGAAAGCGUGGGGAUCAAACAGGAUUAGAUACCCUGGUAGUCCACGUCGUAAACGAUGAGUGCUAAGUGUUAGGGGGUUUCCGCCCCUUAGUGCUGCAGCUAACGCAUUAAGCACUCCGCCUGGGGAGUACGACCGCAAGGUUGAAACUCAAAGGAAUUGACGGGGACCCGCACAAGCGGUGGAGCAUGUGGUUUAAUUCGAAGCAACGCGAAGAACCUUACCAAAUCUUGACAUCCUUUGACAACUCUAGAGAUAGAGCCUUCCCCUUCGGGGGACAAAGUGACAGGUGGUGCAUGGUUGUCGUCAGCUCGUGUCGUGAGAUGUUGGGUUAAGUCCCGCAACGAGCGCAACCCUUAAGCUUAGUUGCCAUCAUUAAGUUGGGCACUCUAAGUUGACUGCCGGUGACAAACCGGAGGAAGGUGGGGAUGACGUCAAAUCAUCAUGCCCCUUAUGAUUUGGGCUACACACGUGCUACAAUGGACAAUACAAAGGGCAGCGAAACCGCGAGGUCAAGCAAAUCCCAUAAAGUUGUUCUCAGUUCGGAUUGUAGUCUGCAACUCGACUACAUGAAGCUGGAAUCGCUAGUAAUCGUAGAUCAGCAUGCUACGGUGAAUACGUUCCCGGGUCU
rnacentral:rRNA from 1 species